CAAGAGAAAUCGGCACUGAUGCACCACUGUAUCAAUCACCAACACCGUUUCAACAUCCAACAACCAUCCCUCGUCGAUUCAACCUACAAGAGACAAGCUCUGCAAGUGUUGGAAAUGUGCCAUAUUGCGACGACUUCCAACACGGUCAACCAUCGGACAGACACCGAUAAUUUAAGCUGUGCGUACGCAAAUCUGCUCUCAACGAUCAAAACCCAGAGAGGAGCGAGAAAUGCGUCGUCAACUACUAACCAAAAUCGACAAAAUACAAGAAUUCUAACCACCCCACUAACACAAACAAAUCCGACCAACCAAACACCACCAACUAUAAACACCCCACAGUAACCCCAAUCUGACGAACAAGAACAGAAGUGUUCCCAAAGUGCCAAGUGUUGCGACUCGAACGGUUAAACGUACCACCCACCCACCAUCUCAACCAGGGUGCUGGUUGGUCUAAUGUUACAAGUGCGGUGCCCGAACCCAAUGCAAACGACAUUCCACCGUGUGAUCAACACGAUCUUCACAAGUUGAUUCAUAUCGAGCCCUGAUGAAGAUCCCAACCAUAGGAUCGAAACGUAGGCAAUGAUUUAGAAUAAUCAACGCUUUUUCUGUGACUGAAAGCCGAAAACCUACCAAGUUUCCAUAGAUCCAGUCAGUCCCCG